rnacentral:rRNA from 1 species
GACAGAGGGUGCAAACGUUGUUCGGAAUUACUGGGCGUAAAGCGCGUGUAGGCGGUCUGCUAAGUCGGGUGUGAAAGCCCCGGGCUCAACCCGGGAAGUGCACUCGAAACUGGCAGGCUAGAGUACUGGAGAGGUUGGUGGAAUUCUCGGUGUAGAGGUGAAAUUCGUAGAUAUCGAGAGGAACACCGGUGGCGAAGGCGGCCAACUGGACAGAUACUGACGCUGAGACUCGAAAGCGUGGGGAGCAAACAGG